CAUAGUUUUCAGCUAUUAACGCAAAAGCUUCGUAUUGAAAAUGAUGCCUGCCCAAUGAUUGUAUCUGAAAGGAAAGAAGGGGGGGGGCGCCGGUCGUAGGCGCCCCCCUGAGUGCUUAGCUUUCUAUAAGGACAAUUGAAUGGCCGCGGUAACUCUGACCGUGAUAAUGUAGCGAAAUCACUAGCCAGUUAAUUGCUGGCCUGUAUGAAUGGCUAAACGAGGGCUCCACUGUCUCAAUAAUAAACCUAGUGAAAUUGAAAUAACAGUGAAGAUGCUGUUUAGGAAUUCUAAGACGAGAAGACCCCAUUGAGCUUUACUAUUAACUUGUAUUGCCAGAGCAAUAAAGGGAACCCCAAAGGUUCCCGGGAUCCAACGGAUCCCUUAGGUACCCUGUCCUUUGCUUCAUAAUAAAAUUGUGAAGACUAAGUGGAAAAAGAUAAAACAAGGGAUUAAAAAAAACGGGUCUCUGGGCCCCGGCUCUCAAAAGGCCCCUUGGCUUCUUGUCCCAAUUUAUAUGAAAAACCACUCUUUUUAUUAAGAUUACUGUCUAAAACCGUACAAGUAAGAUAGUUUGGUUGGGGCGACCGCCUUCGAAAAAGUAUCGAAGGCGCACAUAAGAUUAGUCCGGAGGGGGGUCCUACGAAUCCCCCUCCCGGGGGCAAUGCCCCAAAAAAGAUUAGUUUGACUGAAAGGGCUACAACCCGAACAGGCGCCGGGGGAUCCGGGGGCGCGCCAUGGGCGCGCCCCCGGAUCCCCCUUUAGGCGGGUCAUAGUGAUCCGUUGUUAUAUUGUGGGAUUGACAACGAUCAACGAAGAAAAGUUACCAUGGGGAUAACAGCGUAAUAUCGUUUAAGAGUACCUAUCGCUGACGAUGUUUGCGACCUCGAUGUUGAAUUGUGAUAUCCUGGAGGUGCAGCAGCUUCCAAGGGUUGGACUGUUCGUCCAUUAAAAUCAUACAUGAUUUGAGUUCUGUGCGACGAGAAGUCAUAUAUCACAAUGCAGUGAAAUUCUGCUACUCUUUACCUCUUGAGGUAAAUCUAUUACCGGACCAGAAAUUGAAAAAUUUUUGUUCUUAGCAGGUAAGACAAUGUAAACUUUUAAAAAGUUGCUAGGUUAGCACUCUAUGGCUAAUGAAAGGGAAUCUGUGUAAGCCCCAUGAGUAAGCCAAAUUAUUGGACUCUUAAUUUGGCAAGAGGGUAAAUUGCUUUUGGAGUAUAGCAGGAGCCUAAGGAGAGCGUAAUGUGUGAUAUAUGAAACUCGGUAAACCUGAUAAUCGGACCCAUCGUUUGGGGGUCCUUUUUCGUCUUAUAGUAACAAAUGGACGUAAUGAUUAGCAGGUAAAAGAUUGCUUAAAAAGCAAAUGCCAUUUUGGAAUUAGGUGAAUAGCAUGUAAGGCCCUAAAAGGGCUUGAAUUAAUUGUAAAUUGAAAGGUUACUGACUUAAGCAAACCAUUGAAUUGUGAACUGAGUUCGUCGGAACGACCGACGUUCCGACACCAAAAAAAACGGCGGGGCCGCGCCGUAGGCGCGCUAGCCAGCCAGCCAGCCAGCCAGCCAGCCAGCCUACCCCCCCGGGGUCCUUCCUACGGAUCCCUAUAGUAUGAGGGGUAAAGAGGGAUCCAACGGAUCCGGCAAAGGAAUUCGCUUAUAAUUGCUUUUAAAAUUAAAAAUUUGGUGAUUAAGACAAUAAAUGGUGUGAGCCGUAUGACAGGAAACUGUCCCGUACGGUUCUGGGGGUAUACAGGGAAUCCGAUGGAUUCCCCCGAGUGCCCCAGUAGACCGGCGUGAGCCAGGUCGGUUUCUAUCUAGAAUUCAAAAAUAAACAAAGACCAGUUUACCUUCUAGUACGAAAGGAUCGAAGGGUUUAUAUCCUCUGGUGAUUCAAUCCGAACACGAGAUCUUAGAAGGUCUUUUGGGGGAUUUUUUGGUUCCCGUUGUUGAGUAGCUACGAUAUAAAGAAUAAUUGCU
rnacentral:rRNA from 1 species